rnacentral:rRNA from 1 species
GCUUCACUGCAGGCUGGCAUUGGUUCGGGCUUUUCUUGCGCAGUCUAGGUGGGAGGCUUUGAAGGUUUCCUUCCGGGAAGCUGGAGCCAUCAGUGAGAGACCACUCUGGAAAGGCUAGAAUCCUAAUGGUGAUCUUGAAUCAGGACACUUGACAUUGUCAGCUAGACAGUUUUUCUGGGGCGGAAGGCUCCUAAAAGGUAACGGAGCUGUGCAAAGGUUCCCUCAGUCUGGACGGAAAUCAGACGUGGAGUGUAAAGGCAAAAGGAGCUUGACUGCAAGACCUACAAGUCGAGCAGGAGCGAAAGCUGGCCUUAUGA